rnacentral:lncRNA from 1 species
AAGAUGUGUGGAAUAUGAGCACAAUAUAUACUAUGUGAGUAAAGAAGCUACAGGCUGCGGGUAAUAGGAGAACUACUUCAAAGCAGCUAUGGGAAAGCUAAAAGGGGUUAGAAGUAGGAGAAGGUUAUUAGAACGUCAUUAGGCCAUUUCAUGGAAGCCAAGAGCAGAAAGGCCACGGAUGUAUGGACUGGAGCCAGGAUUGGAGCAUGGGGGAGCCUGCAUGGAUUGGUGACUUUUUCCACAGAGUGUGGGUUCGUGCCUCUUUAGCUGUAGAUCAGUACUCUGUCCAUAGGUCUAUAGGACAGAAAAGGAUGGCCAAGAGCUCCUGAAUUUUACAUGUUCCAGUCCAGGGACUAAAGAGAUUUCUCUUUCCAACCCAGUCUACACAAUUGAUGAGGAAGAAACAGGAGUUUCCCCAGGUCAGGUGUGACCCCUGAUCAAUCAAUUGUGGAUGGGCACAGAGUCGGGGAAGGAUUUUGAUUAACCGGGCUCGGGUCUCCUCUGCCCGCAGAAGUGAAUACUACUUUGCCUCCUGCUGGAAUCCCUUUCCGUCCAUGAAAAUACACAAUGGAUUAGAAGGGUCAGGGGUUUGGAGUCAGGCAAAUCUGAGUCUCGCUUAUUAGUUAUGCAACUCUGGACGAAUCACUUAAUCUCUUCAAAAUUCAAUGUCCUCAUCUAUAAAACUGGACUAAAACUAUUGGCCAUGCAGCAUUGUCAACCUAAAAGGAUGCUGAGUGGGAAUUUUCCUCAUGCCCAAAAGUGAGGCCAAAAAGAACUGUGAAGAAAUUGACAUUCUCUGGCACAGCGGUUCUCAAAGUGAGUCCUGGGACCAUCAGCAUCAACCUCACCUGAGAACUUGUCAGAAAUGCAAAAUCUUGAACUCUAGCCUAGACUUACUGCGUCAGAAACAUUGGACAUGGCAACCAGUGAUGCAGGCCGCAGUUUGAGAACUUCUGCUCUAUGGACCUAGAAGGAACCUCCAAAGAGCCCUCCAGAGUGGACCACAAACUCCUGGUGGAGGCCAGUUGAAUCUACUCCUCCCAGAAAUGAAGAGAAUCAGACUACCCACCUUGGAUUCUGAUAUGAAAGAUUUAGGAUAAAAGAGCUACUCCAUCAGCCUGGAAAGAUGACUCACUGGCAAACUCUUAGAUAAAGCUAAACUUCACACCAAACUGCAAGAGAGUCUAAGAAUGAAGAGAAAACUGCUUUGGCAAGCAACUACCUAGUCUCUGACACAGUCCACCUUUUUGGUCAGCCAAUAUCCAGCUCCGCCUUGUCUUCUUACACAAAGCCCAGGCAAAGCCCAGGAUUGCUAACUGUUGUACAAACCUGUUGGUCAGGCCUAGAUGGAAGCUUUCAACCCCAUUUCAAGUCAGCUGGCUUAUCCAACCCUGAAAGGUCUGUGAUCUCUCAGUUCUUUUUAUAAACAGGCCUCUGCUUGCAAAUGGCCAAUUCUUGCCUGAGCUCAUCUCUUUCUUGUAAUACUUUAUGAAAGGCAGCCAGUAGUAACUAAUGCAUAAAUUUUUCCAACCAACUGGCCCAAAGGUCAGUAGACCUUUUUACCAAAUGUUUCGCAAUGUAUAGCAUGAAUCUCCAUCUUUCUCCUCUCUGUUAUCAGGUUCCUCAGUGCCCAACCAUUAUGUCAAUGCCUUUUACCUUAAUUUUUUUCUUAUGGCAACAUUUUCUUCUGGAAUUAUUUCUGUACUGUAGCAAAUGCCCUAAACUGUGUAAAACAGUUUGAAGACACUAUUUUUUUUUCUAUUUUUAUCAUUUGUUCCUCGGUCUACUCAAUACGCUCCCUGCUUAAAACUCCCCUAGUGAUUUUCUGUUGGGUUUAAAAUAGAGUCUAAACUCUUUACCAUGGAUUACAAGCUUCUCUGUUAACUGGUUGUAACCUGCAUUUCCAGCCUCCUUUGGCGCCACUCUUGUCCCACCAACUAUAUCACAUUUCCUUUGGAACAUUUUCUGCUUCUUGAACUUGCCCAGGUCCUUGCUGUUAGCUGGUCCCUUUGCCUAUGAUGAUCUUCCUUCUUAGCAUCACUUGAACUGCAAAAAAUAAAAAAUGAAACAAAAAACAA